CGGCGGACGGGUGAGUAACACGUGGAUAACCUACCUAUAAGACUGGGAUAACUUCGGGAAACCGGAGCUAAUACCGGAUAAUAUAUUGAACCGCAUGGUUCAAUAGUGAAAGACGGUUUUGCUGUCACUUAUAGAUGGAUCCGCGCUGCAUUAGCUAGUUGGUAAGGUAACGGCUUACCAAGGCAACGAUGCGUAGCCGACCUGAGAGGGUGAUCGGCCACACUGGAACUGAGACACGGUCCAGACUCCUACGGGAGGCAGCAGUU
rnacentral:rRNA from 1 species